rnacentral:rRNA from 1 species
AGCGAACGCUGGCGGCAGGCCUAACACAUGCAAGUCGAACGAAGCCUUCGGGCUUAGUGGCGGACGGGUGAGUAACACGUGGGAACGUACCUUUUGGUUCGGAAUAACGCAGAGAAAUUUGCGCUAAUACCGAAUGAGCCCUUCGGGGGAAAGAUUUAUCGCCGAAAGAUCGGCCCGCGUUGGAUUAGGUAGUUGGUGUGGUAAAGGCGCACCAAGCCUACGAUCCAUAGCUGGUCUGCGAGGAUGAUAAGCCACACUGGGACUGGGACACGGCCCAUACUCCUACGGGAGGCAGCAGUGGGGAAUCUUGCGCAAUGGGCGAAAGCCUGACGCAGCCAUGCCGCGUGAAUGAUGAAGGUCUUAGGAUUGUAAAAUUCUUUUACCAGGGACGAUAAUGACGGUACCUGGAGAAAAAGCCCCGGCUAACUUCGUGCCAGCCGCCGCCGUAAUAC